rnacentral:tRNA from 1 species
GUACAGCAAGGUCUUCAGUAGAGCAUGGGACUCUUAAUCCCAGGGUCAUGGGUUUGAGCCCCAUGUUGGGCA